GAAGAAGAUAAGCAAAGACUAUUAAAUCAAAUAAAUUUUAUUAAGAAAACCUAUAACGAUGAGUUUAUUUCGCUGAAAAUGCGCAUAUCAAAUGAAAUUGAAAAGUUAAGGCACGAAAUUGUAUUCACUGAAGAUGAUGGGCCAAAACAAGAGGAACUUAAACAAGCUAAUGCUAAGUUUACACAUAUUCAUAAAGAAAUAACAAACUGUGGUGAUUCUGAAAAAAACAAAGAAACAAGUUUUACUGAUGUAAUAAACGUAUGCGAUUAUAAAAAAAUAAAUAAUAUGAACAAGCAAAAUAUUUUGACGCGUGAUCUUAUAAACUUAUAUAUCGUGAAAAAAAAUAAUAAUAACAUACUUAAUACGUCUCCAAUAAAUUUAAUUUCUAAUUUUUUUGAAAAUAAAUAUGGCACAAAUACAAGUACUACUACCACUACUACUACUAAUACUACUACUACUACUACUACCAGUAAUAAAAACAUUGAUGGUGUAGAACGAUUAAACAAAGUGCUAAACCAGUUUAAUAAAGAAAUCAAUAUAUUGAAUACUAAACGGAUUGAGGCCAUUCGAAUCAUAAAAUAUAUAUCUUUAAAAAUUUUAUCUAUUAAUGAAAAAAAUAGUAUACUUAAAGAGUUGAGAAAAAAAGAAUUAAAAUUAAAAAAUCAAAAAAAAGUAUAUACAAAAGAAAUACAGAAUAUUCAAAAUGAAGUAGAUAAUUGUACGAAUUCAACGCAGCUAUUGUUAGAAGAUCUGGAAAAUCAAAAUAAAAGAAAAGAAGAAGUAUUAGAAAAGCUUAAGCAAGUAAUCGGAGAUAAUACUUUAUGCUAUAAUAUGCUUCUUAAAAAUUUAAAAAAUAAUAAGGAUGAUGCGAUGUCAAUUGAAAGCGAAGGUAGUGAUAAGUCCAACGAUGAAUUGGAGGGAGCGGGAUCGGAAGCAGGUGUAAGUCUAUGCGGGGAAGGAGACGACGCUGUUAUUAAUAUUUAUAAUAAAGAAAAAAUUAAUGCUAUAAAAGAAGAAAAUGGAAUAAUUUUAAAUAAAAUAAAUAAUAUUAAAAAGACUAUGGAUAUGUUAAAAAAUGAUAAACGAAAAUUAAUGAUAAAAAAAAAAAAUUUUGAAAAAGAAGUUGAUUUAAUAAAUGAAGAAAUAAGUAUACUUGAUGAUGAUAAAAAAAAAAAUAUAUCUGACGUAAAGUUUUAUAUUGCUUUAAAAAUUUCAAAAUUGAACCAUAUCGAUUAUGUAUAUGAUAAAAAAAUAUAUCGGUUCAAUUUAAAUGAUGCUUGUGCUAUUCUAAGCACAGAACAA
rnacentral:lncRNA from 1 species